rnacentral:rRNA from 1 species
ACAAGCCCUGGAAACGGGGUCUAAUACCGGAUAACACUCUGUCCUGCAUGGGACGGGGUUGAAAGCUCCGGCGGUGAAGGAUGAGCCCGCGGCCUAUCAGCUUGUUGGUGGGGUAAUGGCCUACCAAGGCGACGACGGGUAGCCGGCCUGAGAGGGCGACCGGCCACACUGGGACUGAGACACGGCCCAGACUCCUACGGGAGGCAGCAGUGGGGAAUAUUGCACAAUGGGCGAAAGCCUGAUGCAGCGACGCCGCGUGAGGGAUGACGGCCUUCGGGUUGUAAACCUCUUUCAGCAGGGAAGAAGCGCAAGUGACGGUACCUGCAGAAGAAGCGCCGGCUAACUACGUGCCAGCAGCCGCGGUAAUACGUAGGGCGCAAGCGUUGUCCGGAAUUAUUGGGCGUAAAGAGCUCGUAGGCGGCUUGUCACGUCGGAUGUGAAAGCCCGGGGCUUAACCCCGGGUCUGCAUUCGAUACGGGCUAGCUAGAGUGUGGUAGGGGAGAUCGGAAUUCCUGGUGUAGCGGUGAAAUGCGCAGAUAUCAUGAGGAACACCGGUGGCGAAGGCGGAUCUCUGGGCCAUUACUGACGCUGAGGAGCGAAAGCGUGGGGAGCGAACAGGAUUAGAUACCCUGGUAGUCCACGCCGUAAACGUUGGGAACUACGUGUUGGCGACAUUCCACGUCGUCGUGCCGCAGCUAAC